rnacentral:rRNA from 1 species
UCCGUAGGUGAACCUGCGGAAGGAUCAUUACCGAGUUGAUUCGGGCUCCGGCCCGAUCCUCCCACCCUUUGUGUACCUACCUCUGUUGCUUUGGCGGGCCGCGGUUCUCCGCGGCCGCCCCCCUCCCCGGGGGGUGGCCAGCGCCCGCCACAGGACCAUCAAACUCCAGUCAGUAAACGAUGCAGUCUGAAAAACAUUUAAUAAACUAAAACUUUCAACAACGGAUCUCUUGGUUCUGGCAUCGAUGAAGAACGCAGCGAAAUGCGAUAAGUAAUGUGAAUUGCAGAAUUCAGUGAAUCAUCGAAUCUUUGAACGCACAUUGCGCCCUUUGGUAUUCCGAAGGGCAUGCCUGUUCAAGCGUCAUUACAACCCUCAAGCUCUGCUUGGUAUUGGGCACCGUCCUUUGCGGGCGCGCCUCAAAGACCUCGGCGGUGGCGUCUUGCCUCAAGCGUAGGAAAACAUACAUCUCGCUUCGGAGCGCAGGGCGUCGCCCGCCGGACGAACCUUCUGAACUUUUCUCAAGGUUGACCUCGGAUCAGGUAGGGAUACCCGCUGAACUUAAGCAUAUCAAUAAGCGGAGGA